CUGGCUCUCUUGAUUUUUUUUUUUUUUUGAGAAGGGUCUUGCUAAGUUGCUUAGGGCCUUGCUAAAUUGCUGAGGCUGGUCUCAAACUUGGGAUCCUCCUGCCUCAGCUUCCUGAGUCACUGGGAUUAUAGGCAUGUACCACCAUGCCAGGCUAUCCAGGUAAAUUCUAUUAAACAUUCAAGGCUUUCAAUAUUACACAAAUUAUUUCAGAGUAGUCUUGACUCACUCAUUGCACUGGUCUGGGAGAAGUUACCUGUGACAUGAAUAACCACAGGACCAGUAUCCACAGUAUUAUGGAACUAUAGGAAAUCACUGAGGGUAAAAGUAGAAAUCAACAAUUGGCAAUUUCACAGAAAGGAUAUGAACACUGAGAAAUGAUAAGCUCAUUUAUAGUUUGGAAAACUAAAACCUAUAUGAAACACUUCCCAUUUACCAGAUGGGCACAAGAUAAGCAGUGAAAACAAUGCUAGGUGUUGAUAAGACCAUCCACAGUGGGCUCCCACACCCACGCCUGCAGGGAGUGCAAACUGGUGU
rnacentral:lncRNA from 1 species